GGCAGAGCUGGUCCAUGGUGUCAGGGAAUUCUCUGUGUCACACUGAAACCAGAGUGCUGAUCUCCUUAAUGGGCUGGUGCAGUCCUUGCUGGGCUGGUUUUCCCAAUGCUAACAUGUGUCUAACAUUUAAUUCCCAUUAUUCACAGGCACCUUGUGAGUAUCUGUAGCAACCUCGAGAGAAAAAUGUGAUGAAAAAUAUACAAAAUGCUGAAAUCACAACUUCUCUGCUUCAGAUACCACCUGGAAAGCCAUGCAGGACAUCCUAACACAUUCAAGGCUGGAAUUUCUUCUGGGAGUGGCACAAAAUUGGAGUUUUUGCUGAGGUCAAGGACAACUGAGCCUGAGAAAGAUCCCAGCCCCACUUCUGCCACUGGACCCUGGAUGGAGGCUUUUACAGCUCUGGGAUUUCUGCAGUUCCCUCUGGAUGAGUGAGGUCUGUCCUUGCUGAUGCCCUCCAAAAUACAGGUCAGCUCUUCAGAUCAGGUUCCACAGUCACAGCCUCAGCCUGGGCAUAGGAUCUGUGAUGGAAGAAAUUUCUCCUGGAUCAAACAGCAUGCUUGGAGGCAGAAAUGUCUCAUUUUAUAAUAAUAAAAAAAAAAAAUAAAAUAAAGAAAAAUAAAA
ensembl:lncRNA